rnacentral:rRNA from 1 species
CGUCGAAAGACGGGCUAAUAUCAGAUAAUGCAGCGGCUCCGCAUGGAGACAGUUGUUAAAGUACAAGCGCCUGAAGAUGAGCCUGCGGUCCAUUAGCUAGUUGGUAGAGUAACAGCCUACCAAGGCAACGAUGGAUAGCUGGUCUGAGAGGAUGAUCAGCCACACUGGAACUGAGACACGGUCCAGACUCCUACGGGAGGCAGCAGUAAGGAAUAUUGCUCAAUGGCCGAAAGGCUGAAGCAGCAACGCCGCGUGAAGGAUGAAUGGCCUUUGGCCUGUAAACUUCUGUAAAAAGGGAAAAACAGUCAGGUAUAUCCUGAUUUGAUUGUACCUUUGAAGUAAGCCCCGGCUAACUACGUG